rfam:Perkinsus marinus ATCC 50983 gcontig_1104296626642, whole genome shotgun sequence.
UAUCACAGCGGUCAUCUCAAAGCGAAUCAAUCUUUCGCCUUUUACUAAAGAUUGCCGUGUGGCAUGACUGCACACAUGUGAACUUACACAAUUUUUGCGGAGCCUAUGCUCC